GUUCCUGUGCUCCCAGUAAUUUGCUUCAGGUCCCUCCCCUUCAAGUCUCUCUGUCGCUCGCGUCCCCGUUCCCCAAUCUCUCGUCGACGGGGGCGGCGGCCAGGCAGAUCCGGUGCUUCCCUGGUGGACGACGGCUACUCUCACGGCACCUGCUCCCUGCCUCGUCCCCUCCUACCCCGGCAUCCAUGUCGCUUGGCGCCGUCCCCAGGGCACCCAACAUCACGCUGCGCAUCGUCGUCAGCGACCGGGCCGCCGCUGCCGCCACGGUCUCCUCCUCCCUGGUGGCCGCGGGCGGCCCGCCCGCUCAGCUGCAUAUUCUAUAUCUGAAGGCAACCUGGUACUGGUCUAGUGCGCCGUGAUGCUGCCACUGUCUCCUCCUCCCCGGUGCUCCUAGAUCCAAUAAUAUCUCACCGGAGGCAAGCCGGUGGUCCUCGAUCUCCUCGCCUCCUUUACCUCGCAGGAUCAGCAGCAAGCGCAAGAAGCUCGAUGAGCAAUAAGCACUAGUAAUGGAGGCAGAGGCAACAGCUUUUCUGUUGUGUGCCAUCAAGUAGCAAAAGUUGAUGCAAUGCGAUUAUUUUGGUCCUUCAUAAUUAGUUUUGCAUGAGAUAUACCAAAAAUGAUCCUCGCAUGCUAUGUUACACUUGAUAAGUUAUGUAUGUGUGUCUCUUCUGUUGUGUUUGGUCCGGGAUCGUGCAAUUUGAAAUGUAUGUUUAGUUAUGAUUUCAAGUGGAUGGAUUAAUGUUCUCAUGUACUCUAAUAUUGGUGAUGAUGUUCACAUACUUUUAGUGACCAACAUGCUCAAAUGUAUGGAUUUCUUGCAUGGUUCGUGAUGUAGCAGAAGCUACUAAUGAAAUCAAAUAUACAUGGAAUCUAGUACAGUACAUAUGUAUAUGCGGUUUUGUGUAAACCUAAGAGGAGAGGGGCACUCGUAUAGGUUUAAAAAAUUGUUUUAUUUAUGAAGGACAACUUGAUUGAUAUAUGAGAGAUUUGAGGUGGUUACUGUAAGGACAACUUGAUUGAUGUAUGAGAGACUUGAGGUGGUUAUUGUAAAGACAACUUGAUUGAUAUAUGAGAGAUUUGAGGUAA